AACGAACGCUGGCGGCAUGCCUAACACAUGCAAGUCGAACGAGACCUUCGGGUCUAGUGGCGCACGGGUGCGUAACGCGUGGGAACCUGCCCUUAGGUUCGGAAUAACACCCCGACAGGGGUGCUAAUACCGGAUAAUGUCUUCGGACCAAAGAUUUAUCGCCCUUGGGUGGGCACGUGUUGGUUUAGCUAGUUGGUGGGGUAAAAGCCCACCAAGGCGACGAUCCGUAGCUGGUCUGAGAGGAUGAUCAGCCACACUGGGACUGAGACACGGCCCAGACUCCUACGGGAGGCAGCAGUGGGGAAUAGUGGAAAAUGGGCGCAAGCCUGAUCAAGCCAUACCGCGUGGGUGAAGAAGGCCUUCGGGUUGUAAAGCCCUUUUGUUGGGAAAGAAAAGCAGCAGGUUAAUACCCCGCUGUUCUGACGGUACCCAAAGAAUAAGCACCGGCUAACUUCGUG
rnacentral:rRNA from 1 species